AAGAUCUUUGGUGUCCCUACGGGAUAAAGAAAGAAGAAGAUAAAAGAUAUCAUAGUUAUUUAAUCGUCGUUGGUCACGUGGUACGAUCAAUUCAAACUAGACCUUUUAUAUAUAUUUAUUGAUUUUUAAGUCCACAUUGUAUAAAGUUAUUGAUAUAAGUUAGGCUGAAAAAAAGUAUUAAUUUCUUAAUGAUGAUUAUGUAUAGAGUCGUCAAAAUGAG
rnacentral:lncRNA from 1 species